CCCUUAAUUAUUAACCAUUAACCAGAAAUUUCCCUUCAAUUAUAUUUUAUUAUUAACUUUGAGGGAUACAACAGGAUUAGGUUCAUAUAGAGUUUCAAGUGUCUGUCUCAGCUUUAGGUUUGGAGUACUAACUUUUUGAUAGUUAGGCUUUCUUUUCUUUUUCUUUUUUGUUGUGGGGUGGGGUGGGAGGUAAGCCUUUCAUCCCGAAGGUCUUAUUUUGUCUGUUACUUAAAAUGGUUCAGCGACAAUUAUCUACUGAUCACUGGUGGAAGAAUCCACAUGUUGUCUUGCAUUGCCCAACUUUUACUGUUGGCCAAGGCCGCCAAUGCGAUUUAUGCGUGAGAGAUCCAACAAUUAGUAAAUCUUUGUGCAAACUGAAGCGCAUGGAGUCUGAGGAAGGAGAAUCACAUACGCUGCUCGAAAUCACUGGGAAAAAAGGAUCUGUACAAGUGAAUGGAAAACACUAUUACAAGGAUACCACGAUCCCCAUAAAUGCAGGUGAUGAGGUGGUGUUCAGCUUGUCCGAUAAACGAUCUUAUGUUUUCCAACAACUCACCAACGAAAGUGCAUCUACAAUGGAUGACCCAACAUCAGUUAGUAUGUUAGAAGUGCAUGAAGGACCCGUAAAAGGUUUGCAUAUUGAGGCAAGAUCAGGAGACCCUUCUGAUGUUCCCUUUGCAGCAACACUGGAAUCAAUAACGAGUCACCCUGAAGAAUUAUUUCUCCUUCCUUCUUCAUCCCAGGAUGCUGGGGAUGCACAACAUGUUUCUGAGAUUCCAGCUUUACCUUCUACUUGUGAAAUUGCAGACAGACACAAAGAUGCUUCUGACCUUAAAGAUGUUGCUAUGUUACCAGUUGCUGAGACAGAUGGUGUUUUAUCUCCUGAUGUCUCUAUUAAGAAAUUCAAUGUUGCUGCUGAGAAUGUGAAAACUCUUCCACAAAGCAAUGCCUUGGGACAUCGCUUUCCAAUUUCAAUAGCUCCAAAAUUUGAUAUCAGUGGCACGAUAUCUAAGAUUCUUGAUGAGCACAAGGCAGUUAGAGAUCAGGGCAAGGAUUCUGAUCCUCCCAUUUCAAUAUCAUCGAGAUGUGAAGCAUACAAAGAUGCUUUGCGACAAGGACUGUUGCAUUGUGAUAACAUAGAUGUUUCUUUUCAGGAUUUUCCUUAUUAUCUGAGUGAAAACACAAAAAAUGUUCUCAUUGCUUCCACAUACAUACAUUUGAAGUGCAAUAAAUAUGUGAAGUUCACUUCAGACCUCCCUACUGUAUGCCCGAGAAUUUUGCUGUCAGGUCCUGCAGGUUCAGAAAUAUACCAGGAAACAUUGACCAAAGCACUUGCCAAACAUUUCGGUGUUUCUCUUCUUAUUGUUGACACUGUUCUGUUACCUGGUGGACCGGCAAUAAAAGAAGCUGAUUCGGUGAAAGAAAGUACAAAGUUAGAGCGAGCAAUUGUAUAUUCCAGACAGAAUCUGCAUCUCAAAAAACCAGCUUCAAGUGUGGAGGCUGAUAUUACUGGAGGUUCUACUAUAAGCUCUCAGGCUCAACCCAAGCAGAAGCAUCUACGGCUUCAUCUAAAACUCAUACCUUCAAAAAUGGUGACCGGGUGAAGUAUGUCGGUUCUUUGCCAACAGGAUUUUCUCCUACUCAAACUACCAUAAGUGUUUUGUAGAGCAGCACAAAUUCGAAUUUGCGCGGACGGUGGUGCCAACAGAUUGUAUGAUGAAUUGCCGUUGCUGUUCCCUGACGAACCUAAUUUAGCUGUUCGUAAAAGGUAUAGGCCAGACUUAAUAAAGGGAGAC